rnacentral:rRNA from 1 species
AUUGAACGCUGGCGGAAUGCUUUACACAUGCAAGUCGAACGGUAGAGGGGGCAACCCCUUGAGAGCGGCGAACGGGUGAGUAAUGUAUCGGAACGUGCCCAGUCGUGGGGGAUAACGUAGUGAAAAUUACGCUAAUACCGCAUACGAUCUAUGGAUGAAAGCGGGGGAUCGCAAGACCUCGCGCGAUUGGAGCGGCCGAUAUCAGAUUAGGUAGUUGGUGGGGUAAAGGCUCACCAAGCCAACGAUCUGUAGCUGGUCUGAGAGGACGACCAGCCACACUGGAACUGAGACACGGUCCAGACUCCUACGGGAGGCAGCAGUGGGGAAUUUUGGACAAUGGACGAAAGUCUGAUCCAGCCAUUCCGCGUGCAGGACGAAGGCCUUCGGGUUGUAAACUGCUUUUGUACGGAACGAAAAGGCUCUUCUUAAUACGGAGGGCUCAUGACGGUACCGUAAGAAUAAGCACCGGGCUAA